rnacentral:rRNA from 1 species
UGGAGAUUUGAUCCUGGCUCAGGAGAACGCUGGCGGCAUGCCUAAUACAUGCAAGUCGAGCGGAAAGUGGAGAGCUUGCUCUUCACUUUUAGCGGCGGACGGGUGAGUAACACGUGGGCAACCUGCCCUGCAGAUCGGGAUAACUCCGGGAAACCGGUGCUAAUACCGAAUAGUUUGUUGUGCCUCCUGGCACGGCACGGAAAGGCGGCUUUUAGCUGCCACUGCAGGAUGGGCCCGCGGCGCAUUAGCUAGUUGGUGGGGUAACGGCCCACCAAGGCCACGAUGCGUAGCCGACCUGAGAGGGUGAUCGGCCACACUGGGACUGAGACACGGCCCAGACUCCUACGGGAGGCAGCAGUAGGGAAUCUUCCGCAAUGGACGCAAGUCUAACGGAGCAAUGCCGCGUGAGUGACCAAGGUUUUCGGAUCAG